UUGAAACCUUUUUAAUUACGGUCAAUAAUAAUGGGAAUCUCUUCUAAAACCAACGGUGGAUUUCAUCACAAGCAAGGUAUGUUGUUCAAGCUUUGUGGAAUUGAAGAAUUGGAAGCAUCUUCACAUUCUUCGGCGAUGUUCUUUAUGCUACUUUGAUUAAAUCUCAGUAAGAGAAAGGAAUUACGUAUGUACUUGUGUAGUCGAAUGUCUGAAAGCAAUAUAUUCUCUUGUCAGCAAGAUAAAUGCCUGAACCUUCGUCAAGAACUUGACAUUCCAUUAGUAUCUUUAGCAAGUGAUCUUACAAAUUUAAAAGAUACAGUUUCAGAACUCCACAUGGAAUUAGCCUUGGAAAAUUAAAAAGAAUCAAGUAGAGUCUAAAUUUCCCUCUCUUGUUCCUUCCUUUUCGUUAAUUUUUGUUGAGGAAUACUGGUAGAUAAAGCAGAAUGUCAAGGUCAAUGAGGGAAAGUUCAAGAGCAACGAGAGAGGUUUCUUUCAAUGGAAUUGUUCGACGUAUGGUGAACCUCCCUAGGAGUAUUGCAGGGGGGUUUUGUAGAGUUAUGGGUCAUGGCAUAGGUCGCAUAGGAAUAGGAGGUAGAAGAGAUCAAAAUCCAAUACCAAACUUCCCAUUGCAGCCUCCUCAAGAGCCCCUCAUUGCACCAGAAGAGUGGACCUUUCUAUCCGUUUUUGAGCAGCAAUAUGGCUCAACACAUCCUUUCUUUUAUGCUUGCCAAUUCAUGGAAGCCUUAAAGACAGCAGAAGGUGAGCACAAGUUUAUGUUCAUGUAUCUUCACUCUCCGCAGCACCCUUUCACUCCCUCUUUCUGUUGGGAGACUCUAUGUUCAGAGUUGGUGGUCCAGUUUCUUGAUGCUAACUUUGUUUGUUGGGGAGCACUUGCUGAUAGAGGAGAGGGUUUGCAAAUGGCUGUAACAUUGCAGCCCGCAAGCUUUCCAUGUUGUGCAGUAAUAGCUCCUGCUGCUGGCAAUAGCAUAGCAGUGCUGCAACAGAUGGAAGGGCCGAUUUCCCCGGCAGAGCUGGUUGAGAUUCUGCAGAGGACAGUGGAGGAGCAAGGGUUGGCAUUUGGCAAUUCAAGAGCAAAGGAAGAGGAAACAACAAGAGCAAAGGCCAUAGAGGAAGAAAGAAAAAGAGCAAGGGCCAAAGAGGAAGAGAAGAUGAGAGCAGAUCGUCAACUAAGAGAAGAACAAGACGCAGCAUAUCUUGCAGCUCUAAAGAUAGAUAAGGAAAAGGAAAAACUCAACAGCCUGCUUCCAGAGAGGAAAUUUCAGAAACCAGCUGAUUCUUCAAAUAAAGCAAAUUAUGAAAAGCUAAGGCAGAAUGCAAGUCAGAAGCAGUUUGGUAAAUCAAAAGAAGCUUCUACUGUUAGAGAAACAGCUAACGGGUCCAAAGAUUCUCAAGCAACACAGAUUCUGAUAAGGUUUCCAAAUGGUGAAAGAAAAGAGCAGAGCUUUUCCUGCUCAGAUAAGAUCCAGUCGGUUUACAGAUACAUCGAUUCAUUAGGGCUACCAGGCGUUGGCAACUACAGAUUAAUCUCAAGCUUUCCUAGAAGAGUCUACAGUGUUGAUCAGAUGGGAAUAACUCUGAAAGAUGCUGGCCUUCACCCUAAAGCAACCCUUUUCCUGGAGCUUCUUUGACACUACAUGUGUCGAAACAAAUCAUGGAGAUUUACUCAGGAUUUCAUAUGUCAUGAUGUCUUUAUGACAAUUCCAUCUCAAUGAUGCGACUUACUCAUUACCAACAAAAAAAAAUCGGAUAUUGGAUCAUUUUCACGAUUGACCAAUAGACCUCUUCUAAGCUGAGGUCCACCGCGAUUUGGUCCUAAAUGACAUCAUAAUGAAGCACAGCAAUAGUAGUUGAUUACAAGAAGUUACUGUCUUUAUGGAGAAAAGCUUUCCAGGAGUGAAUUUCAAUAGCAACGGUAGGUCCUAAACCACAUUUUGUGUAGAACUUGGCGGCAAUGUUCAACGGUCCAUGAUGUUUACUGAAACUAGACAACUAAAAUUAUUAAGAACUUAGACAAUAAACUGUUGUUGUUGUUGUAUGUUUCUGUUAGACAACAUGAACAAGACUGGAACGUGGAAGGAAGUUCAUAUCCUAUAAACGUCGUGCUUCCUUCAAAGA